GAGCCUGGGUCAUUAUCGCCCUGCUGGGGAAAGAAAGCCAGCAACAAGCAGAGAUCCCCCUCCGAUUGCAAUUUUGGAGGCUGGGCUGCCUUUAUGGCUGGGAUUUGAGGCUGAUUACGGGUGGGAAGACACAAGUCUUGGGAUUUUGGGGGAGGUGGGAGGCAGAGGAAGGGGUUACCUGGCUGCAGGCUGGCUCUCCUCUGGCGCAGGGGUGGCGGAGGACGGGGACGGCCUCGACAGAUGAGGACAGCUUCGAUGGAUGGAGAUGGCCUCGAUGGAUGAGGACGGCCUCGACAGAUGGGAACAGCCUCAGCAGACAGGAACAGCCUCGACGGAUGGGGACGGCCUCCUCCAACCUCCCUGGCUGCCUCCUCUCCGCAGAAAACUAAAAGCGAAACUCCGUCAGGCGCGCCAGCAGCUGCCGGAGAGCGGUGCCAGAGCCGAGAGAUAUAAAUAGUCCCAGGCACAAGAAACAGCAUUGGUCCAUACUACUGAGUCAUCAGAAGAAUGAUGGAUCCCCAAACAACUUUGAGAUGAGCUGUGAGCUCACACACAGCCCAAAUUGUCUACAAAAAAAAAAGGAAAACAAACAAGACACAGCGUUUCCGAGAAAGUAAUGUCGACAGCUGUCCACCAAAGGUCUGCGUGAUUCCUUGCUAAGUUUGUCCCAUCGCGUUUCACUUGGGGCCCUGCAGGCAUUGCCCCGCCGAGGAAUGAAGACAAUGGAUUCGGCACAGGCACCGGCUAUAAAUAGUCACCUUGAUGUCACUGGUAUAAAAAGCAGCAAGUGACAAUUAAGUAGUUUCUGGAGAACCAGAAGCCCGGUAGCCUGGAUUGCAUGGAGGGCAUUUAUACCCAUCUGGGGAAAGGGAUUCUGCUAGAACUAGUUUUUUUUUCCUGAAGCAGCAACUGGUUGCUUUAUGUCCUGAUAAAUUCCCUCAUGGGAAGGGGUGAUAUAUUAAACAGUUUGACACA
rnacentral:lncRNA from 1 species